GUUCCUGUAGUGUAGCGGUCAUCAUGUUCGCCUUACACGCGAAAGCCCCUGGUCCGACCCCAGGCAGAAACA